GAAAAAGUGCCAACAAAUCUCACAUGAUCUCGACCAUUGGAUAUAUUGAUGAGGAAAUGAUCGGUUUAUGUCGAUCGUUCGAUUGAAGAUUUUAAGGGUUUGGAUUAAAAAUGAUGUGUGGUGUCUUUUUGCUAAGACUCGUAGUAGUUAGGGAAGAAUGGGGAGUUAUAGAAAGGGGGGAAGACGGAGGGACGCGAGGAGAAGAAGGGAAGAAGGGAAGACGGGAAGACACAUGAGUUAUAUAGAGAGAAAAAGAGAAUAUGGUGGCUGUGGAGAAGAAUGAGGAGUCAUAGAGAGGAGGAAGACGAAGUGACACGAAGAAUGAGAAGUUAUAGAGAGGAGGAAGACGAAGUGACACAGGGAGGGGAAGAGAAGACGGGGGACACUGGGGUUACAUAGAGAGAGAGGAUAAGCAAGCCAUCUAAAUGUGAAAAAAAAAACUCUCAAAGCAAGGAUGUUGCGCCACGUCAGCAAAAUUAUUGGGAAAUAAUAUAUGUUUAUAGAUUAUAGAUUAUAGAGAGGAGGAAGACGAAGUGACACAGAGAGGGGAAGAGAAGACGGGGGACACUGGGGUUACAUAGAGAGAGAGGAUAAGCAAGCCAUCUAAAUGUGAAAAAAAAACUCUCAAAGUAAGGAUGUUGCGCCACGUCAGCAAAAUUAUUGGGAAAUAAUAUAUGUUUAUAGAUUAUAGAUUAUAGAUAGAUAGAUAGAUAAUAAUAAUAAUAAUUUUUUCUUCCAUUGAUUUAAAUAAUUAAAUACAAAUUUAAAAAUUAAAGAAGAGUCCAUUUUUAAAAAAGCAAUGUAAAGGGAGUCUCAUACAUUUUUUUUAAAUUUUUAAUUCGUGAUCCAACAGAUUUUGAAAAUUCAUAUCCAAAAUCAAAUCCGAACAAAAGUUCAAAAUCUGAAUCUGGACCCAAAAAUCUAUAAAUUAUUUAUAAAUA
rnacentral:lncRNA from 1 species